GCUUCGUAACCAACAAAUUUCGAUUCAGCAUCCCAAAAAUCAUAGAAAAACUCCAAGUUACUGAGGGGAGCUUGAAAUUUACACUCAGAUGGCACCAGCGCCCGGACUAAUUACGAUACGAAUGCCAAAGAAGUGGAACUCUUCUGGGUACUUGUAGACGUUCGUGAAAACAUCUGGAUAACCAACAGCACAAGGAAUUCCUCCAGACACAACACCGAUGAUUUCGUCGUUGGCUACCAAUGGGCCGCCACUGUCACCAGAGCAAGCACCAGCUCCUUUCUUGACGAAUGUGCAGACGCGAGGUUGGCCUGAGCAUGGUUCCCCAUCCAGAGACGACAGCUUCGUCACCGAUAGUGACGUCUUUCGUGGGAAGCUUGACUAAAGCCACACGACUCGACAGUUUGACUUCAGAAUGAUCACACCGAUGUCGUACAUCCAGUCAGGAUUUGGCUUGCUGACGUAGUUCGGAUGCGAAGACAGAGCUUUGAUUCUGUAUGUCGAUCCACCACUGGAUACACUGUUGGUACCGACAACGGCAGACAACCUGCUCAAGCCAGUGCUCUUGACGGCGGCGACACAGUGAGCUGCUGUCAGUACGUGCUUCUUGGUGAUCAGUGCACCUCCACAAAAGUGUUUUCUUCCUAAACGCAGGGACACUUGGUAUGGGAAUUCAGCAAUGUCGGCGUUUUUUGCGCCAACCAAUUUAUCCGUAACUCCUGCAUUGGCUCCUAAUAAGGAGACACGUUUUUUAUUAGCAACAAUUAUUAUAAUUCGCUAAUAGACUUGAAAAAAAAAAUAGUUACCUAGUGCUAGAGCACUGAUGAGUAAAAAGAACAGUUGAGAAACCAUGAUCGCUGCUGAUGCUUGCAAGAGGAACUGUGAGCUGGUUAUGCUUUUUGAGAAAGCUCAAAAUGCUUUUAUACUGCCGACCGCAUGCACUCGUCAAACAUGAGAGCCUUGAAUUUUAAUUGCGUACGGUUGAUUAAUUUCGAGAAAGGGGAGGGAACGAAUUUUUAAUUACAUUAUAAUACAAUUUUCGAUUCGUUUCCGCUGCUCGAAUAUUCAUAACCGUACCGUAAGCCAUAUUAAGCAAUCAAUCAUGCGGUUUCCGAAUAUCAACUCGGUUUUUGUUUUGCCAGGUGGUGUGGCUUUCAAGCAAUCGCAUGUAGUAUAUAUAAUGAUUUGACAGUUUUCGGAUGUAAACCCCGUCAUUCGUACACUAAAUUAUGCAGAAAUAAAUCAUCGCC